rnacentral:misc_RNA from 1 species
AAGGAUCAUUACAAAUCCACGUCUCAUCUCGAGACAAGUUGAAAUGUUGUUAGAGAGAAAGAGGAGGAGAGUUGAGCGAAGAAGUAGAAGAGGAGGAGAAAUCCACCCUUCUUCUAUCUAUCUAUCGUCUCAUUCACUCACUACUCUCUCUCUAUACACCCAUUGUCAAGUGUUGAUCAGCUGUAUAACAAUAACGAAACACAACUUAUAACAAUGGAUCUCUAGGCUCUU